rnacentral:rRNA from 1 species
GGGUUGUGAGGUUAAGCGACUAAGCGUACACGGUGGAUGCCCUGGCAGUCAGAGGCGAUGAAGGACGUGCUAAUCUGCGAAAAGCGUCGGUAAGGUGAUAUGAACCGUUAUAGCCGGCGAUGUCCGAAUGGGGAAACCCAGUGCAAUUCGUUGCACUAUCGUUUGAUGAAUACAUAGUCAAACGAGGCGAACCGGGGGAACUGAAACAUCUAAGUACCCCGAGGAAAAGAAAUCAACCGAGAUUCCCCCAGUAGCGGCGAGCGAACGGGGAGCAGCCCGGAGUCUGAAUCAGCUUGUGUGUUAGUGGAAGCGUCUGGAAAGUCGCAGGGUACAGGGUGAUACUCCCGUACACUAAAACACACAGGCUGUGAACUCGAAGAGUAGGGCGGGACACGUGGUAUCCUGUCUGAAUAUGGGGGGACCAUCCUCCAAGGCUAAAUACUCCUGACUGACCGAUAGUGAACCAGUACCGUGAGGGAAAGGCGAAAAGAACCCCGGCGAGGGGAGUGAAAAAGAACCUGAAACCGUGUACGUACAAGCAGUAGGAGCCCCACCACCAAAGCGUUUCGCUUUGCGUGGUGCGCAAAAUGCGUAACGACAGCAUGAUGGACGGUUAACGGAGCGUCAGCGACGUUCAACCUCAAAAAUCAGGCAGUGGAGCGUUUUGGGGUGGGGUGACUGCGUACCUUUUGUAUAAUGGGUCAGCGACUUAUAUUCUGUAGCAAGGUUAACCGUAUAGGGGAGCCGCAGGGAAACCGAGUCUUAACUGGGCGUUAAGUUGCAGGGUAUAGACCCGAAACCCGGUGAUCUAGCCAUGGGCAGGUUGAAGGUUGGGUAACACUAACUGGAGGACCGAACCGACUAAUGUUGAAAAAUUAGCGGAUGACUUGUGGCUGGGGGUGAAAGGCCAAUCAAACCGGGAGAUAGCUGGUUCUCCCCGAAAGCUAUUUAGGUAGCGCCUCGUGAACUCAUCUUCGGGGGUAGAGCACUGUUUCGGCUAGGGGGUCAUCCCGACUUACCAACCCGAUGCAAACUACGAAUACCGAAGAAUGUUAUCACGGGAGACACACGGCGGGUGCUAACGUCCGUCGUGAAGAGGGAAACAACCCAGACCGCCAGCUAAGGUCCCAAAGUCAUGGUUAAGUGGGAAACGAUGUGGGAAGGCCCAGACAGCCAGGAUGUUGGCUUAGAAGCAGCCAUCAUUUAAAGAAAGCGUAAUAGCUCACUGGUCGAGUCGGCCUGCGCGGAAGAUGUAACGGGGCUAAACCAUGCACCGAAGCUGCGGCAGCGACACUAUGUGUUGUUGGGUAGGGGAGCGUUCUGUAAGCCGUUGAAGGUGGCCUGUGAGGGUUGCUGGAGGUAUCAGAAGUGCGAAUGCUGACAUAAGUAACGAUAAUGCGGGUGAAAAACCCGCACGCCGGAAGACCAAGGGUUCCUGUCCAACGUUAAUCGGGGCAGGGUGAGUCGACCCCUAAGGCGAGGCCGAAAGGCGUAGUCGAUGGGAAACAGGUUAAUAUUCCUGUACUUGGUGUUACUGCGAAGGGGGGACGGAGAAGGCUAUGUUGGCCGGGCGACGGUUGUCCCGGUUUAAGCAUGUAGGCGGAUGUUCCAGGUAAAUCCGGAACGUUAUUAACGCUGAGGUGUGAUGACGAGGCACUACGGUGCUGAAGUGACAAAUGCCCUGCUUCCAGGAAAAGCCUCUAAGCAUCAGGUAACAUCAAAUCGUACCCCAAACCGACACAGGUGGUCAGGUAGAGAAUACCAAGGCGCUUGAGAGAACUCGGGUGAAGGAACUAGGCAAAAUGGUGCCGUAACUUCGGGAGAAGGCACGCUGAUGGUAGGUGAAGUGACUUGCUCACGGAGCUGAAAUCAGUCGAAGAUACCAGCUGGCUGCAACUGUUUAUUAAAAACACAGCACUGUGCAAACACGAAAGUGGACGUAUACGGUGUGACGCCUGCCCGGUGCCGGAAGGUUAAUUGAUGGGGUUAUCCUCACGGAGAAGCUCUUGAUCGAAGCCCCGGUAAACGGCGGCCGUAACUAUAACGGUCCUAAGGUAGCGAAAUUCCUUGUCGGGUAAGUUCCGACCUGCACGAAUGGCGUAAUGAUGGCCAGGCUGUCUCCACCCGAGACUCAGUGAAAUUGAACUCGCUGUGAAGAUGCAGUGUACCCGC